rnacentral:rRNA from 1 species
GACGAACGCUGGCGGCGUGCCUAAUACAUGCAAGUUGAGCGCUGAAGGUUGGUACUUGUACCAACUGGAUGAGCAGCGAACGGGUGAGUACCGCGUGGGGAAUCUGCCUUUGAGCGGGGGACAACAUUUGGAAACGAAUGCUAAUACCGCAUAAAAACUUUAAACACAAGUUUUAAGUUUGAAAGAUGCAAUUGCAUCACUCAAAGAUGAUCCCGCGUUGUAUUAGCUAGUUGGUGAGGUAAAGGCUCACCAAGGCGAUGAUACAUAGCCGACCUGAGAGGGUGAUCGGCCACAUUGGGACCGAGACACGGCCCAAACUCCUACGGGAGGCAGCAGUAGGGAAUCUUCGGCAAUGGACGAAAGUCUGACCGAGCAACGCCGCGUGAGUGAAGAAGGGUUUCGGAUCGUAAAACUCUGUUGGUAGAGAAGAACGUUGGUGAGAGUGGAAAGCUCAUCAAGUGACGGUAACUACCCAGAAAGGGACGGCUAACUACGUG